GACGAACGCUGGCGGCAUGCCUUACACAUGCAAGUCGAACGGUAACAGGUCUUCGGAUGCUGACGAGUGGCGAACGGGUGAGUAAUACAUCGGAACGUGCCUAGUAGUGGGGGAUAACUACUCGAAAGAGUGGCUAAUACCGCAUGAGAUCUACGGAUGAAAGCAGGGGAUCGCAAGACCUUGUGCUACUAGAGCGGCCGAUGGCAGAUUAGGUAGUUGGUGGGAUAAAAGCUUACCAAGCCGACGAUCUGUAGCUGGUCUGAGAGGACGAUCAGCACACUGGGACUGAGACACGGCCCAGACUCCUACGGGAGGCAGCAGUGGGGAAUUUUGGACAAUGGGCGAAAGCCUGAUCCAGCAAUGCCGCGUGCAGGAUGAAGGCCUUCGGGUUGUAAACUGCUUUUGUACGGAACGAAAAGCCCUGGGUUAAUACCCUGGGGUCAUGACGGUACCGUAAGAAUAAGCACCGGCUAACUACGUGCCAGCCGCCGCCGUAAAAC
rnacentral:rRNA from 1 species